ACUAACUGAUUUGCAGGGCUGAAGCCUGUGAUGAGGAUAGGAAGCACAGCUGCUCCGGCCACCAAACCCAGUUAUUUUUAUUGUUUCUUGCUUUUCAUACUUGUUAUGUUCCAGGGCAACUCUCCAUCCUCUGACAGCCUUGGAACCAGAGAAUCUGAGAAUGGAAAGAGUCCGCAGGGGCACUUGUUCUCAGUAGAAGAUGGGAAGGAAAGCAGCCCUAUGCAAGUGUCUCAGAUGAGACUGGCAGCAAAUCAGUCCAUCCCCAGAGAACUUGGACUGCGAGAGGGCACAAGAGCCCUGUAGGUGCUGCCCUAUGCCAGCUUGCAAAACACCUAAUCAUUCAGGUGUAUUCCAGUGCUGGAAAGGCUCUGCAGACUCCAUUCAACUCUCAGUCACUGACCAGAUCACUAUGUGCAGUUAAUACAUGAACAAGUAAACAAACCCAUGAGCGAACAAAGGGCUGAAUUAGCUGGGGAGUGAAAACACAGAACAACUGAGGAAUUCACGAGUCAUCCUUGUAAGCUGUCUGCUCCUGUCCAGGUCUGGGAAGAGAGGAGAGGAAGGCCCCGCACUCUUUGUUACCCAGACCAUAGUUAAUGCCAUUCAGCCCAGGCUGUAAAAGAGACCUUCUUAAGGUAGAACCCAAGGCUCAUGAAAGGCAUGAGAGGUUCAUGCUUUUGCUGUUUGCAGCCUCCACGAAUGGCCUUUGUGCUGUGUCACACUGCCUUGGAACCAACUGAGUAUGGACUGAAACCUCCAAGAAUUCCAAAUAUGAUCUUCAUCACAUGCACUGAGGGCUUUCUGACAUUGACUCCUCCCUGUCAGGCUAGAGAGCUCCUUCUGCUUCAUUUGCACACGUUGGAUCCUAACUGAUGUCAAGGUCAACCCAAGUGCUACCCAUGUCAUGAUGUCCUCCAAUGAAAAGCCAUUUGGUCCUUCCAAACAGUUAUAGACUUUUUGGUGUUAUCAAUCUUAUGAUAUUCUUUGCAUUUUGUAUUUUAUUUCUUAAUUCUGUAUGUAUGUUUCAUCUUUUCUAGAAGAUUUAAAUGUUCUUAGAGGAGGAUUUUUCCUUUUUUAUGUAAAGGAAAAAAAAACUCUAAAUGUCACCUACAAUUGUGCUUGCACAGAAAGAGGAUUUUAACACUAAUUUUUUUCUUUUGCUGCUUUCAGUAUUUUGAAUUUUCACCGACUGCUACAUAAACAUGAGAACUCUUUUAAUAUUUGUAACUAAAUUAUUAGGACACUGACCUUCCUGAUGAUGGAAACUAAUUUGCAUUUUGGGAUGAUUUGCAUAAACUAUCAGGUGGAAUUUCAGUUUUUAAUUAAUGAGAAAUGAGUCCCAAUAAAUAAAGUAGAGAGAAAUGACAGAAUUGGGCAGGCAUAUCAUCUCUUAUUAAAAAGACAAACAAAAUACAAUAAAAAGCAUAAUGUGACAA